UACGUAGGGUGCGAGCGUUGUCCGGAAUUACUGGGCGUAAAGAGCUCGUAGGUGGUUUGUCGCGUUGUUCGUGAAAACUCACAACUCAAUUGUGGGCGUGCGGGCGAUACGGGCAGACUGGAGUACUGCAGGGGAGACUGGAAUUCCUGGUGUAGCGGUGGAAUGCGCAGAUAUCUGGAGGAACACCGGUGGCGAAGGCGGCAUCCUGGACCAACAUUGACGCUGAGGAGCGAAAGCUAGGGGAGCAAACGGG
rnacentral:rRNA from 1 species